AGAUAAUGAGCUUGAAUAAGCAUAUAUUUUGAAAAUAUAAGAUAGAAUUAUAUUUUAUUAUCUU
rnacentral:tRNA from 1 species